UACGUAGGGUCCGAGCGUUGUCCGGAAUUACUGGGCGUAAAGAGCUCGUAGGUGGUUUGUCGCGUUGUUCGUGAAAACUCACAGCUCAACUGUGGGCGUGCGGGCGAUACGGGCAGACUUGAGUACUGCAGGGGAGACUGGAAUUCCUGGUGUAGCGGUGGAAUGCGCAGAUAUCAGGAGGAACACCGGUGGCGAAGGCGGG
rnacentral:rRNA from 1 species